rnacentral:tRNA from 1 species
GCGUUCUUAGCUCAGUUGGUAGAGUAUCACCUCGACAAGGUGAGGGUCAAUGGUUCAAAUCCAUUAGAACGCACCA